rnacentral:rRNA from 1 species
GAUCCUGGCUCAGGAUGAACGCUAGCGACAGGCUUAACACAUGCAAGUCGAGGGGGCAGCAUGAUUUGUAGCGAUACAGAUUGAUGGCGACAGGCGCACGGGUGAGUAACGCGUAUGCAACUUACCUAUCAGGAGGGGGAUAGCCCGGCGAAAGUCGGAUUAAUACUCCAUAAAACGAGGGGUCCCGCAUGGGAAUAUUUGUUAAAGAUUCAUCGCUGAUAGAUAGGC